rnacentral:rRNA from 1 species
GAUGAACGCUAGCGGCAGGCUUAAUACAUGCAAGUCGAGGGGCAGCAUGAGUGUAGCAAUACAUUUGAUGGCGACCGGCAAACGGGUGCGGAACACGUACAGAACCUUCCUUCGAGCGGGGAAUAGCCCAGAGAAAUUUGGAUUAAUACCCCAUAGUAUAACAGAGUGGCAUCACUUUGUUAUUAAAGAUUUAUCACUUGAAGAUGGCCGUGCGGCUGANAGAUAGUUGGCGGGGUAACGGCCCACCAAGUCUGCGAUCAGUAACUGGUGUGAGAGCACGACCAGUCACACGGGCACUGAGACACGGGCCCGACUCCUACGGGAGGCAGCAGUAGGAAUAUUGGUCAAUGGAUGGAAGUCUGAACCAGCCAUGCCGCGUGC